CUCUGCGACAACGAAGACUGAAUCUCUCCCACCACCCACGACGGCUAUUCUUCUCCGGCGUAGUGUGUUCUCCGGUUUUCCUCUCACGGUGUGUUCUUCAUUUCUUCUUCUUCGAUUUCGUUUUUUUUUUUGUUUUAAUCUCGUGUUUACUUUCAUGUGUGGGAGAAGCUAUCUUCAUCUCUGGCGUGAAUCUCUCCAUCUCCGGCGUGAAUCUAUUCUUCUCCUGUCGAAAUUGAAGCCGGAUAUCACCGCUUUGACAUCUCAUGAGAACAUGACAUUCUUACCACCUCCUGAGCUACGCUACCAUUUCCUAGCUUCAGCUCCAGGACCUAAGCAACACCGAGGUGGUUCUUCUGUUUAAAAUCAUGCUUCUACCAUGGAGUACCUUCUCCCAGCUUACACCGGCCAGUUUGACUUCCCACCACCACCACUUGAGGGUACACCAAAUGAGCAGUUUGCAUGGACCGCACACUCACAAAUGAAGCUAUUGACGAUGAUGAUGCAGCAGCUGUAGGGAGUUUUCGCAAGUACCAGAGGCCCACCACCUCCAGCUUCAGUCCCAUCUAUAACAUGUCUACUGAGACUACUACAGACGUUCCCGACGUUGCUAGACACAGGGACGCAGACACUGCAGCUGCAGAGGAGACAGCCGAAGGAGCAGCAGAUGCAGAGCGUGAUACACGCCUUCCUAGGCAAAGGCGAGGACUGGGGCAGAGCAGGAGUUGCAGUCCUGAUGACCACCACGGAUCAGUAGCAUUCAUAUUAACAUGAUUUUUAACUAUGAUUUUGCAAUGAUUUUUAGACUGGAUUUUUAUGCGUGACAGUUUAACGUAAUGUUUAGACAUGAUUUUUUUUAUAAGUGAUUGUUUGACGAAUUUUUAAACCA